rnacentral:rRNA from 1 species
CUCCUACGGGAGGCAGCAGUGGGGAAUUUUGGACAAUGGGGGCAACCCUGAUCCAGCCAUGCCGCGUGCGGGAAGAAGGCCUUCGGGUUGUAAACCGCUUUUGUCGGGGAAGAAACGGUCUGCGCUAAUACCGCGGGCUAAUGACGGUACCCGAAGAAUAAGCACCGGCUAACUACGUGCCAGCAGCCGCGGUAAUACGUAGGGUGCAAGCGUUAAUCGGAAUUACUGGGCGUAAAGCGUGCGCAGGCGGCUUUGCAAGACAGAUGUGAAAUCCCCGGGCUUAACCUGGGAACUGCAUUUGUGACUGCAUGGCUGGAGUGCGGCAGAGGGGGAUGGAAUUCCGCGUGUAGCAGUGAAAUGCGUAGAUAUGCGGAGGAACACCGAUGGCGAAGGCAAUCCCCUGGGCCUGCACUGACGCUCAUGCACGAAAGCGUGGGGAGCAAACAGGAUUAGAUACCCUGGUAGUCCACGCCCUAAACGAUGUCAACUGGUUGUUGGACGGCUUGCUGUUCAGUAACGAAGCUAACGCGUGAAGU